GCUCAUAGCAAUAUGGGAGCGGCGAACGGCGUAGUAAUUCAUAGGAACGUACCCUCAGGUCGGGGAUAGCUACGGGAAACUGUAGGUAAUACCCGAUGAUCUCUGCGGAGCAAAGGUGUGAUUCCGCCUGAGGAGCGGCUUAUGCGAUAUUAGCUAGUUGGUGGGGUAAUGGCCUACCAAGGCUACGAUGUCUAGGGGGUGUGAGAGCAUGGCCCCCACGACCGGAACUGAGAUACUGUCCGGACACCUACGGGUGGCUGCAGUCGAGAAUCUUCCGCAAUGGACGAAAGUCUGACGGAGCGACGCCGCGUGCGGGAUGAAGGCCCUUGGGUUGUAAACCGCUGUCAGAGGGGAUGAAAUCUUCGGAGGUUCUCCUCCGAAGUUGACAGAGCCUCAAAGGAAGCACGGGCUAAGUACGUGCCAGCAGCCGCGGUAACACGUACUGUGCGAACGUUAUUCGGAAUCACUGGGCUUAAAGGGUGCGUAGGCGGCAAUUCAAGUCAGGUGUGAAAUGCCUGAGCUCAACUGAGGCAUUGCACUUGAAACUGAACUGCUAGAGUAUCCCAGGGGUGUGCGGAACUGCCAGUGGAGCGGUGAAAUGUGUUGAUAUUGGCAGGAACACCGGAGGCGAAAGCGGCACACUGGGGGAUAACUGACGCUGAGGCACGAAAGCCAGGGGAGCGAACGGGAUUAGAUACCCCGGUAGUCCUGGCCGUAAACGAUGAGCACUGGGCGGGAGGGGGUUUCCCUUUUCUGCCGUAGCGAAAGCGUUAAGUGCUCCGCCUGGGGAGUAUGGUCGCA
rnacentral:rRNA from 1 species